ACAUCGCCUGUCGAAACAUCACAGGUACAAUCUGCCCAAUGAGCAAUUCAAUGGCCGCAGUAUCCUAACUGUGCUAAGGUAGCACAAUCAUUUGCCAUUCAAUUGACGGCUUGUAUAAAUGAUCUGACGAGAGACCAUCUGUCUCUAUUUUACCCUAUAACUUAUAUUAAAGGCAAAAAUACCUCUUUGCCCAGGGAAGACGACAAGACCCUACAAAGCUUCAACCUUAUUUGAUCCAAACAUAUUAGGUUUUUACUGGGGCGCAAAAAUCAUACCUUCACCAAAUUCAAAUAUCAACAUCUCAAAUGAUUUAAACCUACACUUUUAAGAAAUAGCCUUAGCUACUUUAGGGAUAACAGCGUGAUAUUCUUUAAGAGCCCUAAUCAACAAGAAUGAUUUCGACCUCGAUGUUGAAUUGAGGCACCAAGACAGAGCAUAAACUAUCUAUGGAGAGUCUGUUCGACUUGUAAACCCUCACGUGAUCUGAUUCAGACCGGA
rnacentral:rRNA from 1 species